GAACCACUUGAUACUGUAGUAUCAGUUUGGCAAAUUUUUUCUUCUGUCCACACCAUCAACACAGAGAACCAAAUCCCAAAUCAGUGAAAACAACAAAUUUGCUCCAGCUUAAAUGGCUUUUAUCAUCAACCCAUUCUGAUUUUAAGCUGAACCAAAUCCCAUUCUGAUUUUGUCUGCAACAACAAGACAAAAUUCACAAUUCAAAUUCAAAUUCAAAUUCACAAUUCUACACAUUCAAUCCCUCACUCUCUCUUUUUCAACUAUCUCGCCAUUCUCUUCUUUCUUCUCCUCCUUUUUAGUUUUUGCCAUUGUCAAAUCAAAAAUCAAUCUCAACCUCAAAACCCUAAAAACCCAAUUGUCCCCCCACUCAAAACAAUAACUACAAAAGCUACAUCAACUUCCAUUCUCCAACCCCGUUGUAUUUCAGAUUACGAAAUCUAACGUGGAAGAAGAAGCAAAAGCCACCGAAGCGACUAUCUGUUCAAGCUUUUGUUGAUUGGAGACUCUGGUGUGGGCAAGUCAUGUCUCCUCCUGAGGUUUGUUGUUCAUGUCGAUGUGAUGCAAUUACUUACAAGAAAAGGUAAGGAGUCUACUGUUUUUCUUCUUUGAAAGAUGAAGUUUAGAAUACAUUUUCUUUUUUUGAUAGAAAAAGUUUAGAUAAAUACAUUGUUGUUUGGCCUCUUGAUAAUAUGUAUAUCAUUAAAAGAAAGAAAAAAACUAAAAGAAAGAAAAACUAAAAGACUUAAUCUAUGUGAAAAUCACUUAUUUAGAUUGAAAGCAAGAAAAAAAAAAGAUGUUGAGGGGGUGAUUUUAGGGCAAAAAUGACCUAAAAUCAAGGGGCUAAUGGAAGAUAAAUGGAAUGUGUUUUGAAUGUAGUCAUAAAUCGAAUGUGUUUUGAAUGUAGUAUGACUAUGUAUUACAUUUUGAUCCAUCUUCGAAAGAAUGAUAACUUUUUAAAUUAUGUAAUAUUUAAUUUUUGCUAUUAGGUUGUUUGUGAUUUUGACAAUAUGUGUUGGCAUGUAGUAUGAUUAUGCAUUAUAUUUUGGUCCUAAAUAGAAAUAAUGCAUAUCUUUUUUAAUUGUUUGAUAUCAAGACAAAUUUCAAGGAUAUUGAAAUCUUAAUUGCCAUCAAUUUGUUUAUUGAAUGAUAGAUUUAUUAACUAUAACAUUUUGACAUUAUGUAUUUUCACAAUAUAUAAUUAUCUAUUUAAUUUUAUCACAAAUUUAUAUAGCAAUUGCAAAUUAAAUAUUUACUGAAAGAAGGUGUUUCCCGUGCGUUAGCACGGGCACUAGAACUAGUAAUAUACAAACUCAAACCAAUGUUAGGGAAAGUUUGAUGAUUUGUCCACUUCUAAUCACAUUGUUGCCAAAUCAUCAUUAAAAAAUAUUAUAUCUUUACCAUAUUUUUAUCUUUGGUGCCAACUUGGUUGUUUGAGUUGGAAGAAAAUUCAAACUUUUGAAUUUUCCCCCUUCUUUUGGCUGAAGAUGCAACUUGGGCCUUUCACUACACAGUUAGAUUCAGCCCACCACAUCUUUCUAUUUUGGCAAAAAAAUAAAACCCUCACAAAACAAAACAAACCUAGAAAAGUGGAAUCCAAAGAAACAAAACUUCUCCUUUCACGCGUAAAAAGACAUUUUUGUAAAUCUCUUUGUCCCUCCAAGCAAUUGAUCCAGAAAAACCCACACAAAUUUAUGCAAAUCUCUGCACCCUCUCAAUACAAUAACCUUUCUCUGUCUCACAUGUGAACAACACUGCAUGUUCAGAGUUCAGACAAUGAAAGCAACAUCACAUUCCUGAUUCCAUUCUCCAACCUCUCUUCUUUGGUUUCAAAUUUCAAAUUCUCCCACAAUUCUUCUUUGGUUUCAUCUUCCACACUCUCUCUGUCUCUCCAUCUCUCUUUAUCUAUCUAAUUUGCUUCCAAUUCCAUUUCUCAAAGCACCAAAACCCUUAGUUCAAAUAUGACUGAGAUUCAAAGAUGAGAUGUGGAAAAACUUAGAAAACAAAAAUGGAAUCUCAAUAGAAGAAGAAAGAGAGCAGAAGAUACAGAAGCAGAGCACGAGGGGUUGAAGAAGGUAUGGAAUAAAGCUACGAAUGGAAGAACUGGAGAAGAUUUUGGCUAUACUCAUAAAGGUACUUCAUGGAAUAGAAGUUGUUGAUCUUGAUACAAGGUGACGGAAGGUGAUGCAAAUGUGGCUGUGACAUCUCGGUUAUCUCAAACAUCAGUCAUAACCACGAGAAAGACAUCUCACUUAUCCCAUGCCUAAAGACCAAGCUUCAAAACAACAUGUAGGCAGCAAUAUUUUUCAAAUAAGAAGUGUAUGUGUAUUAAAAGGAGACCGACAUUCGGCCCUCAAAUCAUUGUUUCGUAUGACCCUUACUCGUACAAUCCUGCACUCCGGAACUUAACUAUUAUUGAUUUUCCUCAAAAUCCUACAAUAAGAAUUGAUGAUCCCAUCGAUGCUAGCUUUUCAGUCGGAAACACAUAUUUAGCAUCUGUGAUCAGAGGUUUGGUCUUCAUGGUUGGCAAUACGUUUCAUCGAGUAGGCAACCCUGCUAGAGACACACUUUCAAAUCGCUUCGAUCAUCCACUCAUUAUUGAAGGUGCUAGACACUUCUUAGGAUAUGAUGCUGUUACAGAUUGUUACAAGAUGAUAAGGUUUACGGUUAUAGUAGGAGAAGUUCCAGGAACCCAGAUUCAUCGCUAUACAAUUGGGUCGGACCAACGGGAUUGGAGGCAUAUACUUACAUCAGAUUUGAUUAUCCAUGUUGAGCCAAGGCUGCCGAAUGCAGGUGUGCAAACUUUGGAAAACAGUCAUUUGCAUGUGGCCAAUCUUUCUAGUCGCCUACAUUUUCUUUGCCUCGAAAUACUACCAAGUAGUUAUACAAGAAAUUGCGUACUUUCUUUUGAUUGUGAGGAUGAGCGGGAGAUAAGAGUUUUACUUCUAGAAUUAAAUGGUGAUCCUAAUUUGUGCUGUUUAGAAAACAAACUAUGUUGUGCCGAAUGGUUUAUGAAUACUCUUCAGAUUGGUUAAUAGGAGUAAUUAUUGUCACUUGUAUCUGCAUGUGGCCAAUCUGAAGAGUAUUCAUAAACCAUUCGGCACAACAUAGUUUGUUUUCUAAACAGCACAAAAUAGGAUCACCAUUUAAUUCUGGAAGUAAAACUCUUAUCUCCCGCUCAUCCUCACAAUCAAAAGAAAGUACGCAAUUUCUUGUAUAACCACUUGGUAGUAUUUCGAGGCAAAGAAAAUGUAGGCGACUAGAAAGAUUGACCACAUGCAGAUGACUGUUUUCCAAAGUUUGCACACCUGCAUUCGGCAGCCUUGACUCAACAUGGAUAAUCAAAUCUGAUGUAAGUAUAUGCCUUCAAUCCCGCUGGUCCGACCCAAUUGUAUAGCGAUGAAUCUGGGUUCCUGGAACUUCUCCUACUAUAUCUGUAAACCUUAUCAUCUUGUAACAAUCUGUAACAGCAUCAUAUCCUAAGAAGUGUCUAGCACCUUCAAUAAUGAGUGGAUGAUCGGAGCGAUUUGAAAGUGUGUCUCUAGCAGGGUUGCCUACUCGAUGAAACGUAUUGCCAACCAUGAAGACCAAACCUCUGAUCACAUGCUAAAUAUGUGUUUCCGACUGAAAAGCUAGCAUCCAUGGGAUCAUCAAUUCUUAUUGUAGGAUUUUGAGGAAAAUUAAUAAUAGUUAAGUUCCGGAGUGCAGGAUUGUAAGGGUCAUACGGAACAAUGAUUUGAGGGCCGAAUGUCGGUCUCCUUUUAAUACGCAUACACUUCUUAUUUGAAAAAUAUUGCUGCCUACAUGUUGUUUUGAAGCUUGGCCUUGAGGCAUGGGAUAAAUGAGAUGUCUUUCUCGUGGUUAUGACCAAGAAAAGAUUGUAGCUUUCUUCUUCUUCAUUCUUGAAGUUGAAGGGUCCAUUGUGUUUUCUUCUUGAAUGGUUUUGAGUGCUCUAAGUAGAAAAUGCAUAACACGCUGAAAGGGGUUUCAAGAAGAAAAGUUUUCUUCCUAGAUGUGUCUAUGAAUUUUGAAUACAAAGGUCUCUCCUUUUUUUUCUUUUUUUUUUUUUUUUAUGAAAUGAUUUUGGUAUGGUAAAGAUUGCAAUAGGAAUAGUGUUUGUCAAUUUUGGGAAAAGAAAGUAACUUUUUAAUGUAAUUGGUUCCUUUGUUAACAAGUUUUGCAGGGUUGGAUUUUUGUCUCA